GACAGAGGAUGCAAGCGUUAUCCGGAAUGAUUGGGCGUAAAGCGUCUGUAGGUGGCUUUUUAAGUCCGCCGUCAAAUCCCAGGGCUCAACCCUGGACAGGCGGUGGAAACUACCAAGCUGGAGUACGGUAGGGGCAGAGGGAAUUUCCGGUGGAGCGGUGAAAUGCGCAGAUAUCAGGAGGAACACCGGUGGCGAAGGCGGGGUCUCUGGGCCGAUACUGACACUGAGGCGCGAAAGCGUGGGGAGCGAACAGG
rnacentral:rRNA from 1 species